rnacentral:rRNA from 2 species
UGAAAUCAACUGAGACU